rnacentral:lncRNA from 1 species
UAAAAUCGAUUGCCCUAUAUACAACCUACUUAAUGAACUGGUAAGAUCGAUUGCUCUAUAUAUAACCUACUUGUUACACCAGAAUAGAAGUAUUUCUCCCGCUGUUUUUAUUUCUUUGAAAUUAUUGAAAAGGCUUUUUGAGCUUACAAUAUGUCGAUUAGCACUUGAAUCUUCCCAUUAUCCUUUAGUAUCAGACAUUCUGAAACCACAUGAACAAAUCAUAUAUGAAAAAAUAUAUAAAAAAAUAAUAAUAAUAGGCUCCCAUAUUUUAGUGGUUGAAAAAAAAAAAACUUAGCAGACUCUCAAAUUUUAGCAAUUGAAAAAACAAAACAAGUUAAGAAAUUAAAACAAAUAUUAAACUACUUUAAAGAUGUCGAAGAUUGGAAAAAAUUACCUGAAAAAUUAAAUCACAUGACUUGGUUUCUAUGCGAAAUAUGCAUCAUCUCUUGUUUGUGUCUUUGUUUGUGAGUUUUCAUGUUAAAGAUGGAUCAUCUCUUAUUUGUGUGUCUUUGUUUGAGUUUCCAUGAGAAAGAUGAAUAAUCUCUUGUUUAUAGGUUUCCCAUGCGAAAGAUAAGAGAGAACGAAAAAGCUAAAUAAAAAGAUAGGUUCUAAACCUAAAUAAAGAGAGAUGUGAAAAAGAAAUUUGAAAGUGUACAUUGGGACGAUAGAGCGUGAAAAAAAGUUGUUCGUGGAGAAGCUUUUUGUUUCAAGGAAUUUGAAUCAUACUUAUAUCAGUCAUCUCCAAUAUCUCAAAUUUUGUAGUUUCUUAAUUUUUAUAGUUUUUCUUUUAAUUAACCUACGUCUCAAAUUUUCUAGUAUCUCACUUCUAUAGUUUUUGGUUUAAUUCAUCCACUUCUCAAAUUUUCAAGUUUCUCACUUUUAUGGUUUUUGUUUUAAUUCAUCCACUCUACAGAUACGCUUGAACUACUUACAUGCGUCGCCUCCAUAUCCAUUCGCUUUAUAAGCCUAGUGGCAUGAAUCAUGCCUA